GUGCAGCAGGCGAGAAACUUUACAAUGUGCGAAAGCACGAUAAGGGAACUCUGAGUGCCUCCUAAGGAGGCUGUUCAGGUGUCUAAAAGCACCUGAAGGAAGGGCUGGGUAAGACCGGUGCCAGCCGCCGCGGUAACACCGGCAGCCCAAGUGGUAGCCACGUUUAUUGGGUCUAAAGCGUCCGUAGCCGGCUGGGUAAGUUCCUUGGGAAAUUUGGCUGCUUAACAGUCAAGCUUUUCAGGGAAUACUGCUCGGCUUGGGACCGGGAGAGGUCAGAGGUACUCCAGGGGUAGGGGUGAAAUCCAUUAAUCCUUGGGGGACCACCGGUAGCGAAGGCGUCUGACCAGACCGGGUCCGACGGUGAGGGACGAAGGCUAGGGGGCGCGAACCGGA
rnacentral:rRNA from 1 species